rnacentral:tRNA from 1 species
GCGUCUGUAGCUUAGCUGGUAGAGCAGGUGGCUCUUAACCAUCAGGUCCAGGGUUCAAGUCCCUGCAGGCGCA